UAUGGCUGUUCGCCAUUUAAAGUGGUACGCGAGCUGGGUUUAGAACGUCGUGAGACAGUUCGGUCCCUAUCUGCCGUGGGCGCUGGAGAAUUGAGGGGGGCUGCUCCUAGUACGAGAGGACCGGAGUGGACGCAUCACUGGUGUUCGGGUUGUCAUGCCAAUGGCACUGCCCGGUAGCUAAAUGCGGAAGAGAUAAGUGCUGAAAGCAUCUAAGCACGAAACUUGCCCCGAGAUGAGUUCUACCCUGAGACUUUAAGUCUCCUGAAGGAACGUUAAAGACGAUGACGUUGAUAGGCCGGGUGUGUAAGCGCAGCGAUGCGUUGAGCUAACCGGUACUAAUG
rnacentral:rRNA from 1 species